rnacentral:rRNA from 1 species
AUUGAACGCUGGCGGCAUGCCUUACACAUGCAAGUCGAACGGCAGCGGGGGAGAAGCUUGCUUUUCCUGCCGGCGAGUGGCGAACGGGUGAGUAAUACAUCGGAACGUGCCCUGUAGUGGGGGAUAACUAGUCGAAAGAUUAGCUAAUACCGCAUACGACCUGAGGGUGAAAGUGGGGGACCGCAAGGCCUCAUGCUAUAGGAGCGGCCGAUGUCUGAUUAGCUAGUUGGUGGGGUAAAGGCCUACCAAGGCGACGAUCAGUAGCUGGUCUGAGAGGACGAUCAGCCACACUGGGACUGAGACACGGCCCAGACUCCUACGGGAGGCAGCAGUGGGGAAUUUUGGACAAUGGGCGAAAGCCUGAUCCAGCAAUGCCGCGUGUGUGAAGAAGGCCUUCGGGUUGUAAAGCACUUUUGUCCGGAAAGAAAUGGCUCUGGUUAAUACCUGGGGUCGAUGACGGUACCGGAAGAAUAAGGACCGGCUAACUACGUGCCAGCCGCCGCGGUAA